rnacentral:rRNA from 1 species
AUUGAACGCUGGCGGAAUGCUUUACACAUGCAAGUCGAACGGCAGCACGGACUUCGGUCUGGUGGCGAGUGGCGAACGGGUGAGUAAUGUAUCGGAACGUGCCCAGUCGUGGGGGAUAACGUAGUGAAAAUUACGCUAAUACCGCAUACGAUCUAUGGAUGAAAGCGGGGGAUCGAAAGACAUUGCGCGAUUGGAGCGGCCGAUAUCAGAUUAGGUAGUUGGUGGGGUAAAGGCCCACCAAGCCAACGAUCUGUAGCUGGUCUGAGAGGACGACCAGCCACACUGGAACUGAGACACGGUCCAGACUCCUACGGGAGGCAGCAGUGGGGAAUUUUGGACAAUGGGCGAAAGCCUGAUCCAGCCAUUCCGCGUGCAGGAUGAAGGCCCUCGGGUUGUAAACUGCUUUUGUACAGAACGAAAAGGUUUCUACUAAUACUAGGAGCUCAUGACGGUACUGUAAGAAUAAGCACCGGCUAACUACGUGCCAGCCGCCGCCGUAA